UGGGCGAAAGCCUGAUCCAGCAAUGCCGCGUGUGUGAAGAAGGCCUUAGGGUUGUAAAGCACUUUCAGUGGGGAGGAAGGGUUUAAUGUUAAUACCAUUGAACAUUGACGUUACCCACAGAAGAAGCACCGGCUAACUCUGUGCCAGCAGCCGCGGUAAUACAGAGGGUGCGAGCGUUAAUCGGAAUUACUGGGCGUAAAGCGUGUGUAGGUGGUUGGUUAAGUUAGAUGUGAAAGCCCCGGGCUCAACCUGGGAAUUGCGUUUAAAACUGGCCAGCUAGAGUACUGUAGAGGAUAGUGGAAUUUCCAGUGUAGCGGUGAAAUGCGUAGAUAUUGGAAGGAACACCAGUGGCGAAGGCGACUGUCUGGACAGAUACUGACACUGAGACACGAAAGCGUGGGGAGCAAACAGGAUUAGAUACCCUGGUAGUCCACGCCGUAAACGAUGAGAACUUGCUGUUGGGUGCAUAAAGGCACUUAGUAGCGGAGCUAACGCGUUAAGUUCUCCGCCUGGGGAGUACGGCCGCAAGGCUAAAACUCAAAGGAAUUGACGGGG
rnacentral:rRNA from 1 species